UACAGAGGGUGCGAGCGUUAAUCGGAAUUACUGGGCGUAAAGAGCACGUAGGUGGUUUGCUAAGUCAGAUGUGAAAGCCCCGGGCUUAACCCUGGAAAGGCGGUGGAAACUGAAGCGCUAGAGUGCGGUAGGGGUAGAGGGAAUUCCCGGUGUAGCGGUGAAAUGCGUAGAGAUCGGGAAGAACAUCGGUGGCGAAAGCGCUCUACUGGACCGCAACUGACGCUCAGGGACGAAAGCUAGGGGGGCGAAUGGG
rnacentral:rRNA from 1 species